UGACAUAGUUAUGUUUCACACUUUUGUAAU
rnacentral:piRNA from 1 species